rnacentral:rRNA from 1 species
AUCUGGUUGAUCCUGCCAGUAGUCAUACGCUCGUCUCAAAGAUUAAGCCAUGCAUGUGUAAGUAUAAAUAAUUUUACUUUGAAACUGCGAAUGGCUCAUUAUAUCAGUUAUAGUUUAUUAGAAAUACUUUACUACUUGGAUAACCGUAGUAAUUCUAGGGCUAAUACAUGACUAAAUCCUCAACUUCGGAAGAGGUGUGUUUAUUAGUAUGAAAACCAUAUAUCUUCGGAUAUAAUAGUGAGUAAUAAUAACCUUUCAUAUCGUAUGUCGUAAGAUAACGAUAGUUCUUUCAAGUUUCUGCCCUAUCAGCUUUCGAUGGUAGUAUAUGGGACUACCAUGGCAGUAACGGGUAACGAAGAAUUUGGGUUCGAUUUCGGAGAGGGAGCCUGAGAGAUGGCUACCACAUCCAAGGAAGGCAGCAGGCGCGUAAAUUACCCAAUCCUGACAUAGGGAGGUAGUGACAAUAAAUCACAAUGCGGAACUUUUUAGUUUUGCAAUUGGAUUGAGAACAAUGUACAAAUGUUAUCGAUAAACAAUUGGAGGGCAAGUCUGGUGCCAGCAGCCGCGGUAAUUCCAGCUCCAAUAGCGUAUAUUAACGUUGUUGCAGUUAAAAAGCUC